rnacentral:rRNA from 1 species
GCAACCCUUGUCCUUAGUUGCCAGCAUUCAGUUGGGCACUCUAAGGAGACUGCCGGUGACAAACCGGAGGAAGGUGGGGUCGACGUCAAGUCAUCAUGGCCCUUACGUGUAGGGCUACACACGUGCUACAAUGGCAUUUACAGAGGGAAGCGAGACGGUGAUGUGGAGCGGACCCCUUAAAGAAUGUCGUAGUCCGGAUUGGAGUCUGCAACUCGACUCCAUGAAGUCGGAAUCGCUAGUAAUCGCAGGUCAGAAUACUGCGGUGAAUACGUUCCCGGGCCUUGUACACACCGCCCGUCACACCAUGGGAGUGGGAUGCAAAAGAAGUAGUUAGUCUAACUUCGGGAGGACGAUUACCACUUUGUGUUUCAUGACUGGGGUGAAGUCGUACCAAGGUAACCCUAGGGGAACUUGGGGUUGGAUCACCUCCUU